rnacentral:rRNA from 1 species
CACGUAGGGUGCGAGCGUUGUCCGGAAUUAUUGGGCGUAAAGAGCUCGUAGGCGGUGUGUCGCGUCGGCCGUGAAAACCUGCAGCUUAACUGUGGGCUUGCGGUCGAUACGGGCAUCACUGGAGUUCGGCAGGGGAGACUGGAAUUCCUGGUGUAGCGGUGAAAUGCGUAGAUAUCAGGAGGAAUACCGGUGGCGAAAGCGACUCUCUGGACGGUUACUGACGCUGAGGCACGAAAGCGUGGGGAGCAAACAGG